rnacentral:tRNA from 6 species
GGGCGAUUAGCUCAGCUGGGAGAGCGCCUGCCUUACAAGCAGGAUGUCAGCGGUUCAAGCCCGUUAUCGCCCACCA